rnacentral:rRNA from 1 species
AUGCUCAUUGGCAACCCAAGGUGUGUAUACCCCUACUUCCCCAAGAUGUGUGCUGCUGUGAGGCAUGUAGCACCACUUCUCCUGACUGCUAUAAUCAGUGGAAGAUCUCAUGACAUGGCGUCAUGGUCUCAUGGAAUGGACAUCAUGGGGCUUAUUAGGAACUCUGAGUUUAGCGGGCACCAUGCCGAAAGGGUUCUCGAAGUCCUCCCUCUCAUUGACAGGAUAUAUGGACUUGGUUAUGCACUGAAUCAUUGUGGAGGAUCUCAGGGGGCAGAUGAUGUUUCAUAUGCUAGACUGAAAGUCCACAGGUUUACUCAUGUCAUCUGUUUUUUGUUGUUUGAGGGAAGUUGGAAAACAAAAGCCGGGAGAAGUAUGUCCCCUCCGUCCUCCUCCUGCGACGCGCGUCACGAGAGAAACCCUUGCGCCGCCGCCGCCGGGACCCCCUCCUCCUCCCCUUCUCCCCUCCCCUGCCGCCGCCUGCGAGCAAGGCCGGGCGAAGCCCGGUCGGCUCCGGUGGUGUGUGUGUGGGGGGGUCUUCCCUUCACCGUGUGGCCGCGUGUGGCGCAGGAUGGCGUGGCCGGCGAAGGCGCCAUGCGAGUAGGGGGCACGACGACGUGGCAUCUGAGUGUGGGGUGGCGACGCCUGGCCAGGUGCUCGUACGGGUGGCUCUACGGCGGGGGUGGCUGCGAUGUUGCCGGCGGCUGCGUUUGUGCGCGCCCAGAUCUGGCAGCGGCUGCGCCCGCGCGUUGCGCUGGCUCAGCGGUGGCCUGGGUGGCUCGGCACGCGCGGGAGCUCGGCGGGCGGCGGCUUGGGUCGCCGCUGCACCUCGUCAUCCGGCUGUGUGGUCACUGGUGGUGGAUAGCGGCCGCUGGUGAGAUUCAUCUUGUCCAGCCACGGCGCAGGGCUGGACCUUUCCCAGUGAUGGCCACAGUUGAGGGAUGGAUCCGACGCCGGGAGGGCCACGGAACCAUCCUUGCCUCCUGUCAGGUGGCGCACCGGGGAGCUCGUCCUUGCAUGGCCUGGCGGGAUGGGGCGGUGGCGGCCGAGUGCGGCCGGCCCGGGGGUGGGCCUCGGACCUGGGGACCGUCCAAGGGCAGGGAAGGAGGUGCCUUCCCGCCCGUCUCUUUGCCUGUCAUGGCUGCAAGCUUCGGUAGGGGAUGGUGUCGGGACCAUGGGUGUUGGGGCGGCGGCCCUGGAGGGUGCGACAACCGGAGGGGUAGGUCCGGCAGGCCUGGUUUGUUGUGCCUCGCCUCGGGGGCUGUGAGGACUUCCCGGGGUGAAAACCUGCUUUGGCUCUGCCAAGCCGACGGCGACGUCGCCUAUGGGCGGAACCUCCUUCUUGAAGGCGUCGUCGCGGCUCCUAUACAUGCUCCGAUUGCUCCGAAGGAAACCUUGAUCUUGGGAUCGGGCGGUGGUGAUACUCCUGUGUCAUCCACCUUCACCGACAGCACGCGCUUGUCUGUGACCUCCCACCAGCAGCGCCUUGAGGUCACCCACAAAAGCGACCAAGCAAUUCCACGUUGUCACCCUCUACUACUUCACCAACGACAUCGAGGAGGUCGUGGUUGGUACUGCCGGCGGAUGCAUCCAUCUGCUAAUCUCCUGGCACCGCGUAGACGGAGCCAAACGAGUUGGGGCCUCCAGCCGGCUGGUAGUGGACAACAACACCGGGCAUCGAAUUCUGCCCAAAGUUUGUCGCAGCACUUGUGGUCAGCGGCGAGGAUGAGCACCCACACCCGCUCCUUGUUGCCGGCCUCUGCAUCCUCCUCCCUCGAAGCGGGUCUAUGCGGGGAGUUGAUCUAG